rnacentral:rRNA from 1 species
UACGAAGGGGGCUAGCGUUGCUCGGAAUCACUGGGCGUAAAGGGUGCGUAGGCGGGUCUUUAAGUCAGGGGUGAAAUCCUGGAGCUCAACUCCAGAACUGCCUUUGAUACUGAGGAUCUUGAGUUCGGGAGAGGUGAGUGGAACUGCGAGUGUAGAGGUGAAAUUCGUAGAUAUUCGCAAGAACACCAGUGGCGAAGGCGGCUCACUGGCCCGAGUACUGACGCUGAUGCACGAAAGCGUGGGGAGCAAACAGG